rnacentral:rRNA from 1 species
UACGUAGGGGGCAAGCGUUGUCCGGAUUUAUUGGGCGUAAAGAGCGUGUAGGCGGCCAGGUAGGUCCGCUGUGAAAACUCGAGGCUCAACCUCGAGAUGUCGGUGGAAACCAUCUGGCUAGAGUCCGGAAGAGGAGAGUGGAAUUCCUGGUGUAGCGGUGAAAUGCGCAGAUAUCAGGAGGAACACCUGUGGCGAAAGCGGCUCACUGGACCAUAACUGACGCUGAUGCACGAAAGCGUGGGGAGCAAACAGG